ACGGGGAUAGCUCCUGAAAUAGGAGAGUAAUACCGGAUACGCUGCAUGUUGUCAGAGGACAUGCAGGAAAGGAUCUUUUGAUUCGCACAGAGAGCGGCCCGCGUACUAUUAGCUAGUUGGUGAGGUAACGGCCCACCAAGGCGACGAUAGUUACCCGGCCUAAGAGGGUGAUCGGGCACAUUGGGACUGAGAUACGGCCCAGACUCCUACGGGAGCAGCAGCUAAGAAUAUUCCGCAAUGGACGAAAGUCUGACGGAGCGACGCCGCGUGGAUGAUUGGAAGGCCGGAAGGUUGUAAAAUCCUUUUAUGACUGAGGAAUAAGGGAAGUGAGAGAAACGCUUCUUGGUGACUGUAGGUCAUGAAUAAGCAACGGCUAAUUACGUGCCAGCCGCUGC
rnacentral:rRNA from 1 species